rnacentral:rRNA from 1 species
UACGUAGGGUGCGAGCGUUAAUCGGAAUUACUGGGCGUAAAGCGUGCGCAGGCGGUUGUGUAAGACAGAUGUGAAAUCCCCGGGCUUAACCUGGGAACUGCGCUUGUGACUGCACGGCUAGAGUACGGCAGAGGGGGGUGGAAUUCCACGUGUAGCAGUGAAAUGCGUAGAGAUGUGGAGGAACACCGAUGGCGAAGGCAGCCCCCUGGGCCGAUACUGACGCUCAUGCACGAAAGCGUGGGGAGCAAACAGG